rnacentral:rRNA from 1 species
UGCCCGCGAUAACAUUAAGGAAUAGCAUUAUACCAUAAUCAACAUAUUUAUAGGAUAAGGAUGGGCUUGCGGACCAUUAGCUAGUUGGUAAGGUAACGGCUUACCAAGGCUACGAUGUUUAGGGGAUCUGAUGAGGAUGACCCCCCACAGUGGUACUGAGCCAGGGUCCAGACUCAUACGGGAGGCAGCAGUAAGGAAUAUUGGUCAAUGGGCGGAAGCCCUGAACCAGCCAUGCCGCGUGCAGGAAGACGGCCCUACGGGUUGUAAACUGCUUUUGCAGGGGAAUAAACCUCAUUACGAGUAAUGAGUUGAAUGUACCUCUGAGAAUAAGGAUCGGGUAACUCCGUGCCAGGCAGCCGCGGUAAUACGGAGGAUCCGAGCGUUAUCCCGGAUUUAUUGGGGUUUAAAGGGCGCGUAGGCGGUUAUUAGUCAGGGGUGAAAGACGGUAGCUUAACUAUCGCAGUGCCCUUGAUACUGAUGAGGCUUGA